AUGAAGUUGGAAUUGCUAGUAAUCGCGGAUCAGCAUGCCGCGGUGAAUACGUUCCCGGGGAUUGUACACGCCGCCCGUCACACCAUGAGAGUCGGGAACACCCAAAGUCCGUAGUCUAACCGCAAGGAGGACGCGGCCUAAGGUGGGUUCGAUAAUUGGGGUGAAGUCGUAACAAGGUACC
rnacentral:rRNA from 1 species